rnacentral:rRNA from 1 species
AUACGGAGGGGGCUAGCGUUGUUCGGAAUUACUGGGCGUAAAGAGCACGUAGGCGGGUGUGUAAGUCGGUCGUGAAAUCCUCUGGCUCAACCAGAGAACUGCGGCCGAAACUACACAUCUUGAGUCUAGCAGAGGGAAUCGGAAUCCGGAGUGUAGCGGUGAAAUGUGUAGAUAUUUCGGAGAACACCAGUGGCGAAGGCGGGUUCCUGGGCUAGUACUGACGCUGAGGUGCGAAAGCGUGGGUAGCGAACAGAAUUAGAAACCCCGGUAGUCC